CUGCCCUGCACUCUGGGACAAGCCCUGGAAACGGGGUCUAAUACCGGAUAAUACCCUCGGGGGCAUCCCUGGGGGUUGAAAGCUCCGGCGGUGCAGGAUGAGCCCGCGGCCUAUCAGCUUGUUGGUGGGGUGAUGGCCUACCAAGGCGACGACGGGUAGCCGGCCUGAGAGGGCGACCGGCCACACUGGGACUGAGACACGGCCCAGACUCCUACGGGAGGCAGCAGUGGGGAAUAUUGCACAAUGGGCGAAAGCCUGAUGCAGCGACGCCGCGUGAGGGAUGACGGCCUUCGGGUUGUAAACCUCUUUCAGCAGGGAAGAAGCGAAAGUGACGGUACCUGCAGAAGAAGCGCCGGCUAACUACGUGCCAGCAGCCGCGGUAAUACGUAGGGCGCAAGCGUUGUCCGGAAUUAUUGGGCGUAAAGAGCUCGUAGGCGGCUUGUUACGUCGGUUGUGAAAGCCCGGGGCUUAACCCCGGGUCUGCAGUCGAUACGGGCAGGCUAGAGUGUGGUAGGGGAGAUCGGAAUUCCUGGUG
rnacentral:rRNA from 1 species